AUUUCUUUCUGCCCCUGAGCUCAUGUUUAAGUAAAACUCCUAUCUGAACUGGUUUGGGAAAAAAAAUCAAGCCUCCUAUCCGGGGACUAUAUGUUAAAUGGAUUUUUGACCUUCGGAAAUGGAAGCGGAGCUUGCUCCUUCCACUCCAUGCAUCAACAUGGUAUUGCAGUGUUUCCAUGAAUGGUGCGCUCCCC